CUUGGAAAGAUUGCAAAUUUGGCUGGUGUGGUACAGAGAAACCAGCUUUGUUUACAUGCAAUCAUG
rfam:Astyanax mexicanus Tnplaced_Scaffold_2893, whole genome shotgun sequence.